rnacentral:rRNA from 1 species
CAUUAAGCGGAGGAAAAGAAACUAACUAGGAUUCCCUCAGUACGGGCGACGGAAGCGGGAAAAGCCCAAAAUGGAAAUCUCCAGGCGAAAGUCUGGCGAAUUGUAAUCUGAAGAUUGGUAGCCUAACCGGUAGAGACGCAGAAGUGUCCACGAGCGGACCGCCAAAGAGGGUGAGAGCCCCGUAUGUGGUGUCUAGACCGACCUGGCUGCGAGUCAAAGAGUCGUGUACUCUGAUACGAGUGCACUAAGCGGGAGAUAAACUUCUUCUAAGGCUAAAUAUGUGUAGGAAACCGAUAGCGAACAAGUACUGUGAAGGAAAGAUGAAAAGCACUUUGAAAAGAGAGUUAAAAGACUUGAAAUCGUUGAGGCGGAAGCGGUAGAAAUGAAUUCUACGGCGUCGCUCUGAGGUGCGGAGACAAACAUCCGAGCUGUACAGCGGCGUAGUGAGGCAAGAUGGAGUCGAAUGAUGCCAGAGGCGGUGCGGAGUGGGAAGCCUAGCUUUACUCCGUGCUGGCUGGGUGUCAAACGGCUCGAGGGGCCUUGUGCGAUCUUGUCAAAAUGGUUUUUACCGACCCGUCUG